UUGCUUUGGCAGCACAUAUACCAAAAUCAGAAUGAUAUAGAGAUUAGCAUGGCAGCUGCACAAGUAUGUUAGUAAAUUCCCUGAAGCAUUUUGUGUAUAU
rnacentral:snRNA from 1 species